UUUUAUUUUAGUUGCGUGGUAUGUACAUUGUUGAACAGUUAUCUUGUAUUUUUUUUGUCUAGUCUUUAAGUUGUCUGUGUAUCGAUGUAUGUAUGUGAGUGUGAAUAAACGAUUAUUAUUAUUAUUAUUAUAAUCAUUAAAAAAUAUUUUAAAUUG